GCCGGGCCGGCCCUCUCUAUGACCGGGGGCUGUGCUCCUGAAUCUAGGAACAUAUUGGCUGCGGCUACUCCAUCGCCGCUUUCUCCGCCUCCACUCGCGGGCCUCCUCCCGGGCUGCCCCUCCUCCGCCCCCGCGGCCCCGCCCCCGUCCUCUCCUCGGCGCGACACCGUUGCCGCCCCCAGACCCUUCCCCGUUGCUGGUUGCUGUCUCUCCCGCACGCAGCCUUGUGAACAAGCCCCAGCGGGCCGAGCAGACGAGGAGCAAAGGAGCGAGCGGAGAGAGAGGAGUAGGCAGCGGCCGUCGACAGCACCUGGCGGAAAGGCGGCGGAGCAGACGCACAUCCCAGCGGUGGUGCGGUAGUAAGUUGCUUGCUGGGAGGUUUCACAUGGAUUGACCAUUACUUGGCAUUAAGUUGUUCUUCAAUGGCGUAUUUCAUGGAUUUACGGGCUUUCAUCCUGCGUACACAUGUCUUGAAGCUUUAUAGACAGGCAUUGCGUAUCACUCACCGAGCCCCGGUACAUGCUCGAGAUGAGUUGAGGCAGACCGCAAGGGCCGAGUUUGAGAAAUAUCGCCAUUGUGAUGACAAACAAAAGAUUAGGUUUUUGAUUAGUGAAGGGAAGCAGAGACUAAAAGGUCUUGAUGAACUGCUUGACAUGACAGGGAACAGCUAAUCUGAGUUGCAUCUUUGUCUUUGCUUCUGCAAUCAGCUCGCUCCAGAAACCAUUCCUGAUAUGUAAACAACUACAUUGUUUGAAAAAAAAAUGUUUUGAUAAGGAACAACACUAUAUGAACAAUUUUUUGUGCCUUUUUUAUAAUAAUAUAAUGUGAAUGUUUUCCAU
rnacentral:misc_RNA from 1 species